CACAGGUCUGGCAUAGGCGCCCUGGCAAGCUAGUUUGCCAUGUGUUAUGACCAUAGCACACGGCAAACUCCCUUCUUUGCCGUGUGUUAUGGUCCUAGAACACGGCAAAGCCCCUUCCCAGGUAAAUUUUUUUUGUUUUUUUUGCUUUUGCAACCAUAUAUAUCAUAGCACAGCUCACAUUAAUCACACAUAGCAUACAAAUAUCAUAAUAUUCGCACAUUUGUCACAAUAACCACGAUAUACGAAUCUCUCACAUGCAUAUAACGUACAUGUCACAUACAUAAGCACAUGUUCAUCACCAAGUCCAAUGAUAUUUCUAGUUCAUCACAAGUCUGAGGAAACCACUAGUUCAACAACACAUCCAACGAAACGAAAAAUUCCAUGAACAAAUUACAAGUUCACCAACCGAAUCCAUCUCGUCUGCCCCAUGAAUUGCCUGGAGGUUGGUACGGAUUGACAUGGUCACUCGACCCACCGUCUUGAGGACUUUGCUCAUUGGGCGCUUGAGUAGAACACUGGGAUUGAAGCUGCACAAAGGAUGAGACAAACGUGUUGUAAGUGAAUUUUGAGAUUAAAUACUUGAAGUUAAAGAUGUACAUAG
rnacentral:lncRNA from 1 species